CUGUAUACAGCCCAGAUCUUUGCUUCUUUUCGAGAUGUAUCAGAUGGCAAUCUGAUAUACUGAGAUAACAUUCACAAAAUAUAACCUUGUACGCAACCUGUUAUCAACCAAGGUCACGUGACGUUUAUACAGAUAUAUUUUGUUGAACCUAUUCCACUGUCGGGAGACAUGACACUGUCAAUGUUGUUACUGUCUAGAUCUAAAUAAAUAAUGAUUUCACUUUCAGUUUCAUUCAACAAGCGCCAUGCUUGUUGUUAUGAAUGCGUAACAAAUGAGUGACCUCUCCAGGCAUUCUGAGAUCGCCCCUUUUUGGUGCAAGCGCAACUUAAUGUCAUCUAAAAAUAGCCAACCAAUCAGUCUGUGGUGAUUCUAACAGAACUCUAGGACCUCUCAACGGGUGAAGAUAAGUUGUCCCGGGGGUUUCAUUGUGGGAAAAAAUACCGCCAGACCGGACAUGCUUGUAUUCAUAAUCUACAUAUAUAUCUAGUCCACUAAAUUCCUCAUGAGCUCACUGCAAUAUGUCUGGCUUUAGUUUUGGUUUGAUGACAGGUUAACUUCUGGACGCCGGUGCAGUUCUGCCAACUUAUUUCUCCCAUGGUGAUGAGAAGAAACGGUCCGACUAAUAAAGUUCCUUUGGACCUGUAUACAAUGGCGCCGAACUCACGUCUUAUCCUCAACGUGAGGGUGACUGAGUGAUGUCCAGGAACAUUGUUGAUUAGCCCAGCUUUAAGUUUAUAGUGUUGGACUUAAAAACAUCAAAACAAUAGG
rnacentral:sRNA from 1 species